AUGUUUCAGCCAAACUGGCCAAUUUGCUAUUCUCUGAGCAAGCCAUGGCACAGGCUGUCCCUCAGGCAUACCACUCCAGAAUGGAAUCUCUCAAGGACCCCAUUUUUCAGGACACUGAAGUUGAAAAAACUGAAACAACUUAUCCAAGAUGAUAAAGCUAAUGACAAACUCCUGAGAUGAGAGGGAUGCUGUAGAGGGAAGUAUGAGAAGGUACUCCCCACCUCAAAAAACACAAACACACAGGCUCCAGCCCCAAAGGGCCUAAAGCACAGAGCUCUUACUACCCAGUAGGCAAUCCUGUCCUGUCUAGUCCCAUCCUACACACUUGUGGUUGCAGACCUUUACUGGUAUUGGCUAGUAAUAAGGAAAAAUAAUUCAUAUCAUGAACUCCUCUCUCAGAAAAAAACUGAGCCUCUACUGAAGAAACUACAGAAACUAAAUUCAAGGAUUGAGAGAGGCAAGUGACAGGAGGAGGGAAAAGGGGGAGAAGAGAUAAAGGCAGAUUGAGAGGGGAUAGCAAGAAAGUAGAAAGCAGACAAACAGUAGGGAAGGGAGAGAGAGAAAAAGAGACAAGAGGUAGGGGGAAGAGACAACAGGGAGAGAAGAGACGAGAGAUGGCAGGGAGGAAAGAGACAAAGAGAGAAACAAGGAGGUAAAGAGUUAGAGAAACACAAAGAUGGGGAGGCAGAGACUCAAGGGAGGGGAGGAGAGAUAAGGACAGAAUUGGGGAAGACAAGGGUUAGAGAAGAGACAAGUAUAUAAGAGAUGGAGAAGAUGGAAGAGAGACAGAAGGAGGAUGGGGAGAAAGGGAAAGGGAAAAGCAAUGAGAACAUGAAACGCAAAUAACAGGGACAGGAAAGGGGAGACAAGGAAGAAAAGAGGGAGAACAAGGACAAGAAAGGAGGAGACAGGAGAAAAGGGAAGAGCACAGGGACAUGGAAAGGGGGAGGCAGAGAGAAAAGGAGGAGAGAGAACAGGGACGUGGAAAAGGGGAGGUAGGGAGGAAAGAAGGAGAGAAGAGAACAGGAACGGGGAAUGAGGAAAAAGAAGGCAGAGGCAGGGACAGGGAAAGAGGGAGGAGGGGAGGAAAAAAGGCCUUAUCCUGAAUCAGCGCUCACCCCUCUCGCAGCAAUGGCUGCGGCCUUAAGAGCCAUCCCCGCCCCGCAGAGAUUCAGAGGCG
rnacentral:lncRNA from 1 species